ACCAACAGGGAUUGCCCUAGUAACGGCGAGUGAAGCGGCAACAGCUCAAAUUUGAAAUCUGGCUCUUUUAGAGUCCGAGUUGUAAUUUGCAGAGGGCGCUUUGGCUUUGGCAGCGGUCCAAGUUCCUUGGAACAGGACGUCACAGAGGGUGAGAAUCCCGUACGUGGUCGCUAGCUAUUGCCGUGUAAAGCCCCUUCGACGAGUCGAGUUGUUUGGGAAUGCAGCUCUAAAUGGGAGGUAAAUUUCUUCUAAAGCUAAAUAUUGGCCAGAGACCGAUAGCGCACAAGUAGAGUGAUCGAAAGAUGAAAAGCACUUUGGAAAGAGAGUCAAACAGCACGUGAAAUUGUUGAAAGGGAAGCGCUUGCAGCCAGACUUGCUUGCAGUUGCUCAUCCGGGCUUUUGCCCGGUGCACUCUUCUGCAGGCAGGCCAGCAUCAGUUUGGGCGGUGGGAUAAAGGUCUCUGACACGUUCCUUCCUUCGGGUUGGCCAUAUAGGGGAGACGUCAUACCACCAGCCUGGACUGAGGUCCGCGCAUCUGCUAGGAUGCUGGCGUAAUGGCUGUAAGCGGCCCGUCUUGAAACACGGACCAAGGAGUCUAACAUCUAUGCGAGUGUUUGGGUGUCAAGCCCGAGCGCGUAAUGAAAGUGAACGGAGGUGGGAACCCGCAAGGGUGCACCAUCGACCGAUCCUGAAGUUUACGGAAGGAUUUGAGUAAGAGCAUGGCUGUUGGGACCCGAAAGAUGGUGAACUAUGCUUGAAUAGGGUGAAGCCAGAGGAAACUCUGGUGGAGGCUCGCAGCGGUUCUGACGUGCAAAUCGAUCGUCAAAUUUGGGCAUAGGGGCGAAAGACUAAUCGAACU
rnacentral:rRNA from 1 species